rnacentral:rRNA from 1 species
AUGAUAAGGAGGAGGAUGGGGGCACUGCACGUCGGCGAGCCGCGGGUCAGCUUCCAGCAGCAGGUCGGCAAGAACGGCGGGGGCCACGGCGCCGUCGUGGAGGAGAUACACGGGCUCAUCCGCGUGUACAAGGACGGGCACGUGGAGCGCCUCCCGGCGAUCCCCGACGUGCCCUGCACGUGGGGCUCGACGGCCGCCGGGAGCGGCGUCCUCGCGCGCGACGUGGCGGUCGACCGCGCCACGGGGGUGUGGGCGCGCCUGUACGCGCCGGCCGCCGCGGCGGGGAAGGUCCCCGUGGUGGUCUACUUCCACGGCGGCGGGUUCAGCGUCGGCUCCGCGGCGUGGAGCUGCUACCACGAGUUCGUCGCCCAGCUCCCCGCGCGGGCGGGCUGCGCCGUGAUGUCCGUCGACUACCGCCUGGCGCCGGAGAACCGGCUGCCCGCGGCCUUCGACGACGGGCUCACGGCGCUGCGGUGGCUGCGGCAGCAGGCGGGCAGAAACAACGCCGCCGCCUCCGACGAGGUCUCCUGGUGGCGCGGCCGGUGCAGGUUCGACCGCGUGUUCCUGAUGGGCGACAGCGCGGGCGCCGCCAUCGCGUUCCACGUCGCGGCGCGGGCCGGGCAGGGCCAGCUGGGCGCGCUGGCGCCGCUCUCGGUGAAGGGGGCCGUACUGAUCCAGCCCUUCUUCGGCGGGGAGGCCCGCACGGCGUCGGAGAAGAGCAUGCCGCAGCCAGCGGGGUCGGCGCUGAGCCUCUCCACCUCGGACAGCUACUGGCGCAUGGCGCUCCCGGCGGGCGCCGGGCGCGACCACCCCUGGUGCAACCCGCUGGCCCGCGGCGCGCCCCGGCUGGAGGCCCUGGCGCUGCCGGCCGUGCUGGUGUGCAUCUCGGAGGCGGACAUCCUGCGCGACCGGAACCUGGAGCUGUGCAGGGCGCUGCGCAAGGCCGGCAAGAGCGUGGAGCAGGCGACGUACGGCGGCGUGGGGCACGCCUUCCAGGUGCUCCACAACUGCCACCUGUCCCAGCCGCGCACGCAGGAGAUGCUCGCCCACAUCCGGGCCUUCGUCAGCGCCAGGUCCAGCUGA